GGGUUGCAAGAAGAGGUGACUUUUACCAGAUGAAAUGGAGAAAGCCCUUGGGCAAAGAGAUGCAGGGUCAAUUGAGUUUCUGAGCAUUUUGAAAACUGAGACUACUUUUUAAUUACUUUCAAAUUAAGGAACAUUCAAUACUACAGCACCUUUUGUGAAGUAAAUUAAAACCAUUUUCUGAGAUACAUAGUCUGGAUUUCCUCCUACUCCUGUUGCUAGGAGGAAGAAAAAGAGAACAAGAAAGAUAGUAAAUAAUUCAACCUUAAAUUCUAUGUAAUAUACCACCCUUCUGCCUUAUCUUAGGCUAAAUUAGCAUAUUUCAAAUAUUCUAAACAAUGAAAUGAAAAAAUAAGGGACGGGAUUUCAGAGAACUCCAACUUAAUGAUGCAGCAGUCAACCAGCUGUUACCAACAGUUUCUUUCCAGAAUGAAGUACUGAUUUGACAGUGAUUGGUUACCCCACAGAGACUGUCUUGGUAUCAAGAAAUCCAAAUAAGCUGAUCACAGUGAAAUCUGAUCUCUCAGGGACCACUUCUGUCUGCAAAUGAAGGGGAGCCAUUUGACCAGCUAUUAGGAUCUGGGGCUUUGGACUCUGACAGCACUGGGUUCAAAUCCCUAUUACCAAUGAGUAAUUGUCUGAAAGCAGACUUCUUAACCUUCUUCACCUGUGUGUUUUGCUGUCUAAGAAUGGUGCCCUUUUCACUGAGCUCAGUGGAUCCCUCACAUUCUUCUCAUCAGAGAGUUCUGGGCAAAAACUUGGAGGCCCAACUUUAAAGUUGAAUAAUAACUGCAACAGUGAGGUAUCCCUUAUUUGUGACCUGUGGAACUUUUACUCGACCCCGCCUUCUGUUCCUAUGAUAACAACCACAACCAUGGCAACAAUAACACUGAUAUGGACAGGAGACAGGGAGACAUUGGGUAGGAGAGGGCAGUUCCUUGGCAAAGGCCCCACUCUCAAGCGUGGAAAUCCACAGCCUGGAAACCCACAGCCCUCAGUGAGAAAAAGUGUUUCUGUUUUUGUACCCAAAAAGUUGCCUUUUGGUACACUACACUUCCCUAUCCUGUACCCAUAUAAACCCUGAACCCUGGGCUCCAAAAGGAGAUGAGCAAGCAGAACAACGGCAGAAUGGCAGAGCAGAAAAGAAGAGAAGAAGCAUCUGAAUGUCAAGAGGAGCACAGCUGGGGACAAUCAGAGAGAUCAGCUGCUGGACCGCCAAACCCUAGGGGAAGAUCAUUUUCCCACUCUGUCCCCCUUCCAGCUCCCCAUUCAUCCUGCUGAGAGCUACCUCCACCACUCAAUAAAACCCUGCAUUCAUUCUUCAAGUCCCUGUGUGACCUGGUUCUUCCUGGUUGCUGGACAAGGAACUGGGUCCCAAGGGGGUCCACUGAGCCGUCUAACACUUAAACCACCUGCAGGUGGCAAGGCUAAAAGAACACAUUCUAACAUGUGCCCACUUGGGCUUUGGGAGUUGAAGACACCCAACCCAACCCCAUGGCUACCAUGGGGCCAGAGCCCCCAAAACACUAGCCCUGGCUCCUGCACCUGUCCAUCUGUGUGCCCCUACUCUCUUAAGGGGUUUGAGCAUGGCAGCUGAACAAAUGAGCUACACCCAUGUCACAUGUCCUGCAAGGGGGGGUCAGGGAACUCUCCUGUUUCAGCACUGUGCACCAGACAUGGUGUAAGUUCUUUGGAUAUACCAACUCAUUCAUUUCUUACUAUAACCCCAGGAAGUCAAUAACUUCAUAUUAUACCACAC
rnacentral:lncRNA from 1 species